AUGAGGACAGGCCUGGCCAGGGCUGGCCCGCCGGGAGGCUGCCAAGGGCCUUGCUGGAAAGAAGCAGGAGCCAGGGGGCCGAGCAGGGCCUUCUGCUGGCCUCAUCCGCGGGACGUGAAGGGUGGACAACCGGCAAGGCAGCCUGCGGCCGUGCGGAGCUCCCAGAGCGUCAGUGCAGCUGAGGGGGGGGCACAGGUCCCCACGUCCCAGCCAGGCGUGCAGAAGAGACACUCCGCGUCCUGGGAUCUCUGCUGUUGGCUCAGGAGGAGGGUCCUGCCAACACAGGCCCAGCUUGCACCGCGAGAGCCAGAGAGGGCCAGGAUCCGGGAGGGCAGCGACCCCAUCCUGUGCAGUCCCGGAGCCAGGAGGGUGCUCUGCCUCCCGCUGCUGCUGUCCCUGCUGUGCCCCAGGCGUGCGCUGGGCCUGCAGUGCUACUCCUGCCAUGGCACCCAGGACAGCGGCCAGUGCCUGCCCACCGAGUGUCCCGAGGGGUUCGUCUGCUUCCAGGCCAUCCUGAGUGCGGCCGAAGGCUACGGCAGCGGACACCAAGUGGGGUACAGCGGCUGCGCUCCGUCCUGUGAGGCCGUCUCUCAGAGCUUCCAGAGGAAGACUUGGGGACCCAUCCUGAGAUCACUGUGGAGGGGCUGGGUCAGCACACUCCCCCAGGACUGGAGCUGAGGGAGGUGAGGUGCUGCCUCCAAGACCUCUGCAACAGGCCCGGCCCCGAGGGGCCGUUCUCGGUGGCCUGCGCCCCAGGGCCCCCGGCAGGGCGGCUUCUGCUCAUCCUGGCCCCCGCCCUCCUCUGGGCCCUGCUGUGAGGAUCUCCACACCCCUGGCGCCCUCCUCCAGGAAGCAGGGCACUGUCACAGCCCACCUGGCCGCUCAGGGGAUCACACGUCACACCCCCCCUCCAGGCACGCACACUGCACCCGCACACAGCACCGCGGGCCCUGCAGACACACGCCCAGCGGCACGGCAAGACCCCGAGGGAAGCCUGCUCAGGCCCUGGCUCCUGCCCCCCUGCCCCCCAGCACCCACCUGCCCCCAGCACCCACCUGCCCCCCAGCACCCACCUGCCCCCCAGCACCCGGCUCGCAGCCCCUGCCUCCUGCAGACACUGUGGGUGAACCUCCACCCAAUCGGCCCAGGCCCUCAGACAGGACACCUGCCUGGAGAAAUAAAUGCUGUCUAGCAAGCCUCUCCCA
rnacentral:lncRNA from 1 species